rnacentral:lncRNA from 1 species
ACUGAGCUACUGUGUUCUUGAUUUACUCAGGCAUCAAUAUGAUUAAGAAGUGAGACAACUUAGUAUGGAGAAGCCAAGAGCCCAACUGAUGGGAGUUUACACUAGGACAUGUCUAAACCGGAGGAUGGAGGAUCAGCUAUGCCAGGGGGGAGGUGCUGUAAUAGUAUCAUUCUAAGGAGAGAAGACGUGGGUGUUCAACUACACAGAGGACAGGAGACCUGCAAAAGAAGAACCGUUGGUCCAGCCCACCGUUUAACUCUCUAACACACUCUCACAAAACCCUUUCAAAUGUUGUCACUUGACAGACUGGGUUGACUUUGACAAAAAAAAAAGUUCCACCAAAACUGUUGUCAAAACAAACACCCAAACAAUCAAACAUUCAGAUGUUGUCUCCUGUCUCUCUGUCAGGGGAAAGACCAUGUGUAAGAGGAGGAGUAGAUCAGGGAUAUUAAAGUAGAUCUCAGAGGUUUUUUCUUUUGCCUAAACUGUGACAGACAAUGGCUGUACUUCACUGCCUUUCUCUUUGGCAGGACUGCUGCAUGAGAUACAUUGUCAUGGCCAAGUCAAUCCUAAACGCAUGUCCAUGUAGGAUAUCUCCAAGUAAGAAGCAACAUGUUUAAUCAAAACUUCUUAGUUUUGAAAAGGUAUGACAUACUACUUAAGAAUAAACAACAAAAAUAAAACUAUGGCA